AAUAGAUACCCUGGUAGUCCACGCCGUAAACGAUGGAUACUAGCUGUUUGGGAUUAAUUCUGGAGUGGCUAAGCGAAAGUGAUAAGUAUCCCACCUGGGGAGUACGGGCGCAAGCCUGAAACUCAAAGGAAUUGACGGGGGCCCGCACAAGCGGUGGAGCAUGUGGUUUAAUUCGAUGAUACGCGAGGAACCUUACCAGGGCUUAAAUGUAGAUUGACGUAUUUGGAAACAGAUAUUUCUUCGGACAAUUUACAAGGUGCUGCAUGGUUGUCGUCAGCUCGUGCCGUGAGGUGUCAGGUUAAGUCCUAUAACGAGCGCAACCCCUGUUGUUAGUUGCCAGCGAGUAAUGUCGGGAACUCUAGCAAGACUGCCAGUGUAAACUGCGAGGAAGGUGGGGAUGACGUCAAAUCAUCACGGCCCUUACGUCCUGGGCCACACACGUGCUACAAUGGCCGGUACAGAGAGCAGCCACUUAGCGAUAAGGAGCGAAUCUAUAAAGCCGGUCACAGUUCGGAUCGGAGU
rnacentral:rRNA from 1 species